GUGUACAGCCAUGCCACCCUGAACAAACCCGAUCCUGUUUGAACAUGGAAGCUAAGCAGGGUUGGCCUAGUUAGUACUUGGUUAGGAGAUCACCUAAGAAGACCAGGUGCUGUAGGCA
ensembl:rRNA 5S_rRNA 5S ribosomal RNA